ACUAGAUGAUUCUCAAUUGGCUGGGAUCACACAUGUGACCUGAUCCAGAAAGGAGGAACAGCACAAAAGAGACAUACUUAUCCUGACGGUCUUUUGCUCCAUUAAACAAAUCCAUCAAUAUGCUGUCAGUGUAAAAGUACAUCUGCACAGGAUAUUACACAGAGUUAACAGCAAGCAUGAGCAUCAUCAGACACCUGUCAAAGCCCACACCCCAGCAAAGAGAUCACUGCUAACAGCUCAUCAGAUCAUCAACAUCAGUCUCUUGGCUACCAUAAGAGUGCACAGAAUCACAUUUUCUCUACUUGACGGGUCUCUCCUAUCCUUGCCUUCUGAUGCAAAAU